rnacentral:lncRNA from 1 species
UCUCUUGUUUGUCCUAUAAAUAAUUAAAAAUAUUACAAAAUGAAAUCUUUAUUUAUAAUAAUGUGUCUUAGCACUUGCUAUACAGAAUAUUCAUUUGCAUCUCUGAGGAUUUCAGGUUGUUUAGAGUGGAGACAUUGGUACACCCUCCUAAUGCAAUUCCUGGUUCUUCUAAUGGGAGGGAAUGAAACUUCUGCUAGACUUUUG